rnacentral:rRNA from 1 species
UGACCUGCGGAAGGAUCAUUACCUAGAGUUUGGUGGACUUCGUCUGCUAUCUCUUACCCAUGUCUUUUGAGUACUUACGUUUCCUCGGUGGGUUCGCCCGCCGAUUGGACAAUUUAAACCAUUUGCAGUUGCAAUCAGCGUCUGAAAAACAUAAUAAUUACAACUUUCAACAACGGAUCUCUUGGUUCUGGCAUCGAUGAAGAACGCAGCGAAAUGCGAUAAGUAGUGUGAAUUGCAGAAUUCAGUGAAUCAUCGAAUCUUUGAACGCACAUUGCGCCCCUUGGUAUUCCAUGGGGCAUGCCUGUUGGAGCGUCAUUUGUACCUUCAAGCUUUGCUUGGUGUUGGGUGUUUGUCUCGCCUUUGCGGGUAGACUCGCCUCAAAACAAUUGGCAGCCGGCGUAUUGAUUUCGGAGCGCAGUACAUCUCGCGCUUUGCACUCAUAACGACGACGUCCAAAACUACAUUUACACUCUGACCUCGGAUCAGUAGAG